AGUGAACGCUGGCGGUAGGCCUAACACAUGCAAGUCGAACGGCAGCACAGUAAGAGCUUGCUCUUACGGGUGGCGAGUGGCGGACGGGUGAGGAAUACAUCGGAAUCUACUUUUUCGUGGGGGAUAACGUAGGGAAACUUACGCUAAUACCGCAUACGACCUACGGGUGAAAGCAGGGGAUCUUCGGACCUUGCGCGAUUGAAUGAGCCGAUGUCGGAUUAGCUAGUUGGAGGGGUAAAGGCCCACCAAGGCGACGAUCCGUAGCUGGUCUGAGAGGAUGAUCCGGCACACUGGAACUGAGACACGGUCCAGACUCCUACGGGAGGCAGCAGUGGGGAAUAUUGGACAAUGGGCGCAAGCCUGAUCCAGCCAUACCGCGUGGGUGAAGAAGGCCUUCGGGUUGUAAAGCCCUUUUGUUGGGAAAGAAAAGCAGCAGGUUAAUACCCCGCUGUUCUGACGUUACCCAAAGAAUAAGCACCGGCUAACUUCGUG
rnacentral:rRNA from 1 species